rnacentral:rRNA from 1 species
GAACGAACGCUGGCGGCAUGCCUAACACUUGCAAGUCGAACGAGACCUUCGGGUCUAGUGGCGCACGGGUGCGUAACGCGUGGGAACCUGCCCUUAGGUUCGGAAUAACUCCCCGAAAGGGGUGCUAAUACCGGAUAAUGUCUUCGGACCAAAGAUUUAUCGCCUUUGGAUGGCCCCGCGUUGGAUUAGUUGGUUGGUAGGUUAAAAGCCUACCAAGGCGACGAUCAAUAGCUGGUCUGAGAGGAUGAUCAGCCACACUGGGACUGAGACACGGCCCAGACUCCUACGGGAGGCAGCAGUGGGGAAUAUUGGACAAUGGGCGGAAGCCUGAUCCAGCAAUGCCGCGUGAGUGAUGAAGGCCUUAGGGUUGUAAAGCUCUUUUACCCGGGAUGAUAAUGACAGUACCGGGAGAAUAAGCUCCGGCUAACUCCGUG